rnacentral:rRNA from 1 species
GUGCCAGCAGCCGCGGUAAUACGGAGGGGUGCGAGCGUUAAUCGGAAUUACUGGGCGUAAAGCGCAUGCAGGCGGCCUGUUAAGUCAGAUGUGAAAGCCCGGGGCUUAACCUCGGAAUUGCAUUUGAAACUGGCAGGCUAGAGUCUUGUAGAGGGGGGGUAGGAAUUUCUAGGUGUAGCGGUGAAAUGCGUAGAGAUCUGAAGGAAUACCAGUGGCGAAGGCGGCCCCCCUGGACAAAGACUGACGCUCAGAUGCGAAAGCGUGGGGAGCAAACAGGAUUAGAUACCCCUGGUAG